UACGAAGGGGGCUAGCGUUGCUCGGAAUCACUGGGCGUAAAGGGUGCGUAGGCGGAUUCUUAAGUCAGGGGUGAAAUCCCGAGGCUCAACCUCGGAACUGCCUUUGAUACUGGGGAUCUCGAGUUCGGGAGAGGUGAGUGGAAUUGCGAGUGUAGAGGUGAAAUUCGUAGAUAUUCGCAAGAACACCAGUGGCGAAGGCGGCUCACUGGCCCGAUACUGACGCUGAGGUGCGAAAGCGUGGGGAGCAAACAGG
rnacentral:rRNA from 1 species